UUGACGCUGAGGUUGGUACUUGUACCGACUGGAUGAGCAGCGAACGGGUGAGUAACGCGUGGGGAAUCUGCCUUUGAGCGGGGGACAACAUUUGGAAACGAAUGCUAAUACCGCAUAAAAACUUUAAACACAAGUUUUAAGUUUGAAAGAUGCAAUUGCAUCACUCAAAGAUGAUCCCGCGUUGUAUUAGCUAGUUGGUGAGGUAAAGGCUCACCAAGGCGAUGAUACAUAGCCGACCUGAGAGGGUGAUCGGCCACAUUGGGACUGAGACACGGCCCAAACUCCUACGGGAGGCAGCAGUAGGGAAUCUUCGGCAAUGGACGAAAGUCUGACCGAGCAACGCCGCGUGAGUGAAGAAGGUUUUCGGAUCGUAAAACUCUGUUGGUAGAGAANAACGUUGGUGAGAGUGGAAAGCUCAUCAAGUGACGGUAACUACCCAGAAAGGGACGGCUAACUACGUGCCAGCAGCCGCGGUAAUACGUAGGUCCCGAGCGUUGUCCGGAUUAAUUGGGCNGUAAAGCGAGCGCAGGUGGUUUAUUAAGUCUGGUGUAAAGGCAGUGGCUCACCAUUGUAUGC
rnacentral:rRNA from 1 species